rnacentral:tRNA from 1 species
GAGCCAUUAGCUCAGUCGGUAGAGCACCUGACUUUUAAUCAGGGUGUCGCAGGUUCGACUCCUGCAUGGCUCACCA